UACGGGGGGAGCAAGCGUUGUUCGGAUUUACUGGGCGUAAAGGGCGCGUAGGCGGCCACCGCAAGUCGACUGUGAAAUCUCCGGGCUUAACCCGGAAAGGUCAGCCGAUACUGCGGGGCUAGAGUGCAGAAGGGGCAACCGGAAUUCUCGGUGUAGCGGUGAAAUGCGUAGAUAUCGAGAGGAACACCUGCGGCGAAGGCGGGUUGCUGGGCUGACACUGACGCUGAUGCGCGAAAGCUAGGGGAGCGAACGGG
rnacentral:rRNA from 1 species